rnacentral:rRNA from 1 species
CGGAUUGCAGGCUGCAACUCGCCUGCAUGAAGUCGGAAUUGCUAGUAAUCGCGGAUCAGCAUGCCGCGGUGAAUACGUUCCCGGGCCUUGUACACACCGCCCGUCACACCAUGGGAGCCGGUAAUACCCGAAGUCAGUAGUCCAACCUCGUGAGGACGCUGCCGAAGGUAGGAUUGGCGACUGGGGUGAAGUCGUAACAAGGUACC